ensembl:lncRNA
GCCAUGGUCGGUAGGCUCCAAAACAAACAGCGCCGUCGAAGGCCCUGGCAGAGGAAAGGUGCUCACCCCACAGCAGCAGGAGGCAGAGAAGGGAGAGCUGUGCACAAGAACACGCCCUUCCAGGUCACGCCCCUCUUGGCCACCUGGGCCCAGGCCCCACCUCCUGACAGCACAUUCAGUUGCUGAACUCCUCAAAUGGAUGAAUCCACGGACAAGCAUAACACCAACCCGACCUUCCAAAUACAGGAGAGUCACGGUGCACACUUCUAAGCCGUAACACACUGGAACCUCUGAAAUCAGGAGCCAAACUAAACCUGUCCUCUUGGUCCUGCAGGGAGGAGGUCAGAGGCAGAGACUUCUCCAACCCCUCUGAGCCACAGCUAACCACCUCCACGGAACCAUUUCUAUGUCUGCUGGAUGGAUGGAUGCACGCAUGCAGGGGGAAGCUCUGCUCUGCUCUGCUCUGCUCCUGCUCCUGCUCCUGCACCUGCUCCUGCUCCUGCUCCUGCUCCUGCUCCUGCUCCUGCUCCUGUUCCUGUUCCUGCUCCUGCUCCUGUUCCUGCUCCUGCUCCUGCUCGGCUCUGCUCUGCUCUGCUCUCUUGGGGAAAAGCCAAGAGAGGCAGUAGUUGAACUCAAUCCAGGACCUGAAAGCAUUCUGCAAGGGGAGUUGUCUUUGUUCUCCUGCAAGGUUUCCAGUGGAGAUAAAUGCGUUCCACAUGGCCCAGGAGGAGAAGGCUUCUUUCCACUUGCUUUUGAUCCUUCGACACUGCAGCGUGUAAACACUUAUCAUUCCAGAGUCUUCCAGAACCACAGGUCCUUCCCUGACCUCCCACCCUACCGGAGUGGCAUGACCGUGUCCCACACCACCCUGUAGCCGCCACCACCCAAGUGGAGAGCCAUGGUCAUGAGCCCCAUGGAACUGUCCUUGCCAGAAAGGACCCAAAGCAUAGGUUGCCCGGUGGCCUUUGCCUGUGGCCAGGCAGGCUUCAUGCCUAAACGCAGUCUUCCCUGUGGGCCCAGUUUCACUGUUCCUCCUUGACAGGCCAACUACCAGAUGAAGUCAGAUGAAAAAGGGGACGCGCCCUCACGGCCCCUGCUGGAGACUUCAGCUGUCACAGUCUCUCUGCAGGAAAACUGUACGUGAGUAAAUAAACGCAAAAGGAAACACUCUCACGACCAGGAAUCUACCCCUAGGAAGUAAGUGAAAUGAUUUACACAUAAGAUGCUUCCUACAUCAUUUUAAAAAGUUUUUAAGGGGCCGGGGAUUUAGCUCAGUGGUUUCGCCACCUACUGCACAAGCACAAGGACCCAAGUUCGACCCCCAGUACCAAAAAAAAUAAAGUUUUUAAAAAGGCAAGGCGGGGAACAACCUAAGUAAUUAAGGAUAGGGGAGUAAAUGGCUUCCUGCACUUUGACAACUGUGACAUAAGCCUACCAAAACUCAUAUUGGAGUAUAUGCCCUAAUAAAAAAUGAUAAAUAUUUAUUUUUAUAAAUUGCACCUGGGUACUAUUGAGCCAAAAUAUUAUGUGCAUGAUCAAAUACACAUUAUGGUCACUGUAAACAGUGUUUUAAAUUUAUUUUAUUCAUUUAUACUACAAAAAUAUUUUGGUAUAGAGAAAUGCAAUUUUUGAUAUGUUCUAUUAUUUGUGUAACUUUUAGGUCAACACUUUAUGAUACAAUUGAAGAUUCAGUGUAUUUUUAUACUAGGUUUUGAUAGUUACCAUAAUUGAAAACAUUCUUUUAUGAUGACACAGAUAAAAUAGUAUAAAAGCAAUAAUUGACCAUAU